GGUUGCGUGGCCGAGUGGUCUAAGGCGCUUGAGUAAGGGCUAGCCACCUGGCAGGUAGGCCUCUAGUCCGAAAGGGCGCAGGUUCGAACCCAGCCGCAGUCA
rnacentral:tRNA from 1 species